rnacentral:rRNA from 1 species
CAGUAGCCACGGUAAUACGUAGGUGGCGAGCGUUGUCCGGAAUUAUUGGGCGUAAAGGGAGCGCAGGCGGGCGAGUAAGUCUUUCUUAAAAGUGCGGGGCUCAACCCCGUGAGGGGAGAGAAACUACUCGUCUUGAGUGCAGGAGAGGAAAGCGGAAUUCCCAGUGUAGCGGUGAAAUGCGUAGAUAUUGGGGGGAACACCAGUGGCGAAGGCGGCUUUCUGGACUGUAACUGACGCUGAGGCGCGAAAGCCAGGGGAGCGAACGGGAUUAGAUACCCCAGUAGUCCCUGUCUCUUAUACA